rnacentral:rRNA from 1 species
AAGUGCGAAUGCUGACAUAAGUAACGAUAAAACGGGUGAAAAACCCGUUCGCCGGAAGACCAAGGGUUCCUGUCCAACGUUAAUCGGGGCAGGGUGAGUCGGCUCCUAAGGCGAGGCUGAAAAGCGUAGUCGAUGGGAAACAGGUUAAUAUUCCUGUACUUGGUAAAGCUGCGAUGUGGGGACGGAGUAGGUUAGGUUAUCGCACUGUUGGAUAUGUGCGUUUAAGUUGGUAGGUGGGAAGUUUAGGCAAAUCCGGGCUUCCUUAACACAGAGAGAUGAUGACGAGGCUCUACGGAGCUGAAGUAACUGAUACCACACUUCCAGGAAAAGCCACUAAGCGAAAGGCUUUACUAAACCGUACUGAAAACCGACACAGGUGGUCAGGUAGAGAAUACUCAGGCGCUUGAGAGAACUCGGGUGAAGGAACUAGGCAAAAUAGCACCGUAACUUCGGGAGAAGGUGCGCCGGCGUAGAUUGUAAGGGCUAGCCCCUGAAGGUUGAACCGGUCGAAGAUACCAGCUGGCUGCAACUGUUUAUUAAAAACACAGCACUCUGCAAACACGAAAGUGGACGUAUAGGGUGUGAUGCCUGCCCGGUGCUGGAAGGUUAAUUGAUGGUGUAAUCGAAAGAGAAGCACCUGAUCGAAGCCCCAGUAAACGGCGGCCGUAACUAUAACGGUCCUAAGGUAGCGAAAUUCCUUGUCGGGUAAGUUCCGACCUGCACGAAUGGCAUAAUGAUGGCCAGGCUGUCUCCACCCGAGACUCAGUGAAAUUGAAAUCGCCGUGAAGAUGCGGUGUACCCGCGGCUAGACGGAAAGACCCCGUGAACCUUUACUAUAGCUUGACACUGAACAUUGAAUUUUGAUGUGUAGGAUAGGUGGGAGCCUUUGAAGCAGUGACGCCAGUCAUUGUGGAGGCGACCUUGAAAUACCACCCUUUAACGUUUGAUGUUCUAACGAAGAUGACGAAACGUGGUCUCGGACAGUGUCUGGUGGGUAGUUUGACUGGGGCGGUCUCCUCCCAAAGCGUAACGGAGGAGCACGAAGGUUUGCUAAUCACGGUCGGACAUCGUGAGGUUAGUGCAAUGGUAUAAGCAAGCUUAACUGCGAGACAGACAAGUCGAGCAGGUACGAAAGUAGGUCAUAGUGAUCCGGUGGUUCUGAAUGGAAGGGCCAUCGCUCAACGGAUAAAAGGUACUCCGGGGAUAACAGGCUGAUACCGCCCAAGAGUUCAUAUCGACGGCGGUGUUUGGCACCUCGAUGUCGGCUCAUCACAUCCUGGGGCUGAAGUAGGUCCCAAGGGUAUGGCUGUUCGCCAUUUAAAGUGGUACGCGAGCUGGGUUUAGAACGUCGUGAGACAGUUCGGUCCCUAUCUGCCGUGGGCGUAGGAGAAUUGGUUGGGGCUGCUCCUAGUACGAGAGGACCGGAGUGGACGCACCACUGGUGUUCCGGUUGUGUCGCCAGACGCAUUGCCGGGUAGCUAAGUGCGGAAGAGAUAAGUGCUGAAAGCAUCUAAGCACGAAACUUGCCAAGAGAUGAGUUCUCCCAAUCUAAGAGAUUGU